GGGGGGGGGGGGGGGGGGGGGGGGCGGGGGGGCGUCGGGGGGGGGGGGGGGGCUUGGGCGUGGGGUCGGCGGGGGGCGGGUGCGUGGGGCCUGGGGAUCUUCCUGGUCGUGGGGGAUAGGGUGCGGCCACGGGGGCUAAUACCGCCUCCGUCCUGGGGGCGGGAUUGUGGGGUUUUCGGCCCUCCCGCUCUCCGAUGCGCCUAGGUCGGAUUGCCUCGUGGGUGGGUUAAAGGCUUACCAGGGCGACGAUCCGUCACUUGGCUGAGAGGAUGAUCAGUCACACUGGAACUGAGACACGGGCCAGACUCCGAAGGGAGGCAGCAGUGGGGAAUAUUGGACAAUGGGCGAAAGCAGGAUCCAGCCAUGCCGCGUGUGUGAAGAAGGUCUUCGGAUUGUAAAGCACUUUAAGUUGGGAGGAAGGGCAGUAAGUUAAUACCUUGCUGUGUUGACGUUACCAACAGAAUAAGCACCGGCUAACUUCGUG
rnacentral:rRNA from 1 species